rnacentral:rRNA from 1 species
UGGGGAAUUUUGCGCAAUGGGCGAAAGCCUGACGCAGCAACGCCGCGUGAGUGAUGAAGGCUUUCGGGUCGUAAAGCUCUGUCAAGGGGAAAGAAGUGUAUUGUGGUUAAUACCCAUGAUGCUUGACGGUACCCCUAAAGGAAGCACCGGCUAACUCCGUGCCAGCAGCCGCGGUAAUCCGGGGGGUGCAAGCGUUGUUCGGAUUUAUUGGGCGUAAAGCGCGGGUAGGCGGUUUGUUAAGUCGGAUGUGAAAGCCCCGGGCUCAACCUGGGAAGUGCAUUGGAAACUGGCAGACUUGAGUACGGGAGAGGGUAGUGGAAUUCCUGGUGUAGGAGUGAAAUCCGUAGAUAUCAGGAGGAACACCGGUGGCGAAGGCGGCUGCCUGGACCGAUAUUGACGCUGAGACGCGAAAGCGUGGGUAGCAAACA